AGUGAACGCUGGCGGUAGGCCUAACACAUGCAAGUCGAACGGCAGCACAGUAAGAGCUUGCUCUUACGGGUGGCGAGUGGCGGACGGGUGAGGAAUAUAUCGGAAUCUACUUUUUCGUGGGGGAUAACGUAGGGAAACUUACGCUAAUACCGCAUACGACCUACGGGUGAAAGCAGGGGAUCUUCGGACCUUGCGCGAUUGAAUGAGCCGAUGUCGGAUUAGCUAGUUGGCGGGGUAAAGGCCCACCAAGGCGACGAUCCGUAGCUGGUCUGAGAGGAUGAUCAGCCACACUGGAACUGAGACACGGUCCAGACUCCUACGGGAGGCAGCAGUGGGGAAUAUUGGACAAUGGGCGCAAGCCUGAUCCAGCCAUACCGCGUGGGUGAAGAAGGCCUUCGGGUUGUAAAGCCCUUUUGCUGGGAAAGAAAAGCAGCAGGUUAAUACCCCGCUGUUCUGACGGUACCCAAAGAAUAAGCACCGGCUAACUUCGUG
rnacentral:rRNA from 1 species